GGUGUGUUUCCCUGACGGUUGCCAAAAAUUGUGCAGUAUGAAAGCUGGAUCGCAAAUGCUACCCUCUCAAAUUGACGGUGCUUACUGUUUACGAGCAUGUGAUGACAUUCUGAAUAAAAUAUCUGAUGUUCGAAAAACUACAUUCAAACCCCACGGUGUAGUAGAAAAAAAGUACUCUGAUGGAGGCUAACAGUCCAGUUGGUCACAUAAGCCUAUUCCGAAGAAACUUAUCGAUGGACAAAUAACCCUCCGUCUCCACUGACGCUCAGCCCAGUUCAGCCGUGCCAAUGACGAAGACUACACCGACGGACGAAUAACGUCUCGCCAGCUGAUUAUUGUCUUGUCUAACAAAUUGAAUUUCUUUGUGCUCCUUUCUGAAUGAAGGCCUGCAGUAU